UCCAUCUCGUGAACAAGGACGGUGGCGCCUGCAUCACCGUCGAGCUCUCGGAACAGUAGCCACGGCAUCCGAUGCUAAACCGCGCCAUGCGCACACGACAUGGUCACCCCCGGGGUCCUUGUCAACACAACACUGCAUGCAGAAUACAGGCUGUGUGUAUGUCUGUAGCAGAGUGAGUGCCAGGAAGCCCGGACGGGAAGAACAGACAGGUCAUAUCAAACAUUGUUUCUUUCUUUUUCCGUCGCUUAGUUUGCUCCACCGAUGAAUCGUACUGCAAGACGACAGGGAUAGCAAAUGCCACUGGAGAUAAAAAAAAAAAGAAGAUGAACUGAACGUGAGUUAACUUUUUCUCUGCCGCUGGUCGUUGUGGUUUCCACAGUGUUCCGCUGCAUCAUCUAAUGUAAAUGAUGUAAAUGAAAUUGUUUUGGCACUCUUCUUACGACGAAAAUGGCACAUAUUAAAU
rnacentral:lncRNA from 1 species